rnacentral:rRNA from 1 species
CCUUGCCAGCCCGCUCAAGAACUCAAGGAAGUUGACGGGGCCCGCACAAGCGGAGGAGCAUGUGGUUAAUUCGAUGAUACGCGAGGAACCUUACCUGGGCUCGAACGUAAGAUGACUGUAGGUGAAAGCUUACAUCUCUUCGGAGCAUUUUACGAGGUGCUGCAUGGUUGUCGUCAGCUCGUGCCGUGAGGUGUCGGGUUAAGUCCCAUAACGAGCGCAACCCCUACCUUUAGUUGCCAUCAGGUUAAGCUGGGGACUCUAAAGGAACUGCCUACGCAAGUAGUGAGGAAGGCGGGGAUGACGUCAAAUCAGCACGGCCCUUACGUCCAGGGCUACACACGUGCUACAAUGGCCGAUACAGAGGGCAGCUACCUGGUGACAGGAUGCAAAUCUCCAAAGUCGGUCUCAGUUCGGAUCGGAGUCUGCAACCCGACUCCGUGAAGUUGGAUUCGCUAGUAAUCGCGCAUCAGCCAUGGCGCGGUGAAUACGUUCCCGGGCCUU